GGCGGCGUCGCCAAGUGGUAAGGCAGGAGUCUGCAAAACUCUUAUCAUCGGUUCAAAUCCGUUCGCCGCCUCAU
rnacentral:tRNA from 1 species